rnacentral:siRNA from 1 species
CAAAAGAAGGGUCCAAUGUACGAC